AUGAUUAAACACACAAAUGAACAGCCCACUGACUUACUGUCGUACUGUCCUACUGCCAUACUGCUUUACUACUGCCUUACUACUGCCCUAUUGUCCUACUGCCAUACAACCCUACAUCUUUACUACUGCCUUACUGCUUUACUACUGCCCUAUUGUCCUACUGCCAUACAACCCUACAUCUUUACUACUGCCUUACUACUGCCCUAUUGUCCUACUGCCAUACAACCCUACAUCUUUACUACUGCCUUACUACUGCCCUAUUGUCCUACUGCCAUACAACACUACAUCUUUACUACUGCCUUAGUGCUUUACUACUGCCCUAUUGUCCUACUGCCAUACAACCCUACAUCUUUACUACUGCCUUAGUGCUUUACUACUGCCCUAUUGUCCUACUGCCAUACAACCCUACAUCUUUAAUACUGCCUUACAGCUUUACUACUGCCCUAUUGUCCUACUGCCAUACAACCCUACAUCUUUACUACUGCCUUACUGCUUUACUACUGCCCUAU
rnacentral:lncRNA from 1 species